rnacentral:lncRNA from 1 species
UGCGGAGCCCAGGCUCCGGACGCACAGGCUCAGCGGCCAUGGCUCACGGGCCCAGCCGCUCUGCAGCAUGUGGGAUCUUCCCAGACCAGGGCAUGAACCCAUGUCCCCUGCAUCAGCAGGCGGACUCUCAACCACUGCGCCACCAGGGAAGCCCUCCCAACCAGGGUUUUUGUGCACUCACAGCUUUUUAUAUGGGUCAGAGUUUCAGUCCUGCAGCUGCAGUAGGCUUUUUGACUGGGAAUAUUUAUCUAGGGUUUAACUCAAGCUAGGUACCCAUCUCAAGAUUUCUGAAACUCCUACUAUCAUAGCUAGUCUUGGCUGUAGGAAUCGACUUAGAGAGUUGUCCUUUACCUAAAAAGGUACUUGUGAAAAUCAGUUCCUAGUCUUACAUGUACAGUCCUUGUAUCACUUUACUGUCUUCUACUGGUCCUGAUGCAGUCCCAUUGUUUCUAUAACUCUCAUUUAUGUGUUUUUGAAAACAUUUUUAUAGAUGAAUACUCAGGCUAACCUAGUGGAUAUAAUCUUGGAACUUCCAUGAUUACCCACUUCAAGAUCAAAGUAUUAUAUUGCUGUGUGCUUUUUAGCUGUUAGUGCUAUGAAAGCAAAAAUGCUUUCCGUGUUGGUGUUCCUAUUUUACUGGGCACCAAUGAAUGUAUGCUGGAAGUAGUCUAAAAGGUUUCCUUUUCUUAGAGCAUGUUAGUGUUUGUGCAGGUUUGCUUAAAACCCUUUCUAUGUAGAACAGCUCCUUAGGUUUUCUGUUGGGGUAGGGGCUCUGCACUUCCUUCUUGCUGUCAAAAUAAUCCUACCAAGAUAGUGCUCCACUGGUCUAGCUCAGUAGGAGAUAGCAAACAGCUUUACUGGUCAUCUGUCUGCUUGGAUUUAGUACACUGGUUUAGUACAAUGUUUGAUAGAACAUUACUGACCAGAAAACAUGGGUGUCACCUCUCUAGAAAGAAAAACUAUAGUAGUUCAAUUCCCAGUGUAUACCUUAGUUGUUUUUUUGUUGCUUUUUUUAUUUUUAAAGUAAAAAUAAGACUCUUCUGACUUUUCACUUGGCUGUUCUGGUUUUAAAGGAUGAGCUAGCUGUAGGCUGUGCGUUUUUCUGUACCAACGUGGCGCUUAUUAAAUACUUUUGUACCAUGAGUAAAAUUUCAGGUGUUUUG